rnacentral:misc_RNA from 1 species
AUAAACCUAGUCGCUCGCGUCAGGGGCAACCCGCGCGCGAGCGUCUCACCUAGGUCACCCUUGAAUAAACUACCUUCGUUGCUUUGGCGGGCCGCCUCCAAGGCCAGCGGCUUCGGCUGCUGCGCGCCCGCCGGAGGACCACAACUCUUGUUUUUAGUGAUGUCUGAGUACUAUAUAAUAGUUA